CCCUUAGAUGUUCUGGGCUGCACGCGUGUUACAAUCGGGAGUACAACAAGAUUGCAAAUCCUAGUGGAUGAGUGGUUCUUCGAAAUUUUCUGAAGACUGGGAUAGUUGAUUGAAAUUAUUCAACUCGAACGAGGAAUUCCUUGUAAUUGUAAUUCAUUAUAUUGUAAUGAAUACGUCCCUGCCCUUUGUACACACCGCCCGUCGCUCCUACCGAUUGAACGAUCCGGUGAAUUAUUUGGAGUAGCUCUGGAAGUUGCAGAACUUCCUAUGUCACGAAAUUUUGUAAACCUUAUCGUUUAGAGGAAGGAAAAGUCGUAACA
rnacentral:rRNA from 1 species